UACGGAGGGGACUAGCGUUGUUCGGAAUUACUGGGCGUAAAGCGCACGUAGGCGGAUUUGUAAGUCAGGGGUGAAAUCCCGGGGCUCAACCUCGGAACUGCCUUUGAUACUGCAAAUCUCGAGUCCGGAAGAGGUGAGUGGAAUUCCUAGUGUAGAGGUGAAAUUCGUAGAUAUUCGGCGGAACACCAGUGGCGAAGGCGACUCACUGGCCCGAUACUGACGCUGAGGCGCGAAAGCGUGGGGAGCAAACCGG
rnacentral:rRNA from 1 species